rnacentral:tRNA from 1 species
ACAAAAUGUAGCUUAACAAAAGCCCUCCGCUUACACCGAAAAAAUGUCUGUUAAACCCGGAUCAUUCUGA